AACGUAGGGGACAAGCGUUAUCCGGAUUUACUGGGCGUAAAGCGCACGUAGGCAGUUUGAUAAGUUGGACGUGAAAGCUCCUGGCUUAACUGGGAGAGGUCGUACAAAACUGUCAGACUGGAGUCUGGAAGAGGAGAGCGGAAUUCCCGGUGUAGUGGUGGAAUGCGCAGAUAUCAGGAGGAACACCAAUAGCGAAGGCAGCUCGCUGGGACGUUACUGACACUGAGGCGCGAAAGCGUGGGGAGCGAACAGG
rnacentral:rRNA from 1 species